rnacentral:rRNA from 1 species
CUACGUAGGGGGCGAGCGUUGUCCGGAAUGAUUGGGCGUAAAGGGCGCGUAGGCGGCGCGGUAAGUCUGGAGUGAAAGUCCUGCUUUCAAGGUGGGAAUUGCUUUGGAUACUGCCGCGCUUGAGUGCAGGAGUGGUUAUCGGAAUUCCCGGUGUAGCGGUGAAAUGCGUAGAGAUCGGGAGGAACACCAGUGGCGACGGCGGGAUACUGAACUGCAACUGACGCUCAGGCGCGAACGAGUGGGGAGCAAACAGGAUUAGAUACCAUGGUAGUCCCCGCUGUGAACGAUGAAUGCAAGGUGUACGUGGUAUCGACCCCUCCUGUGCCGCAGUCAACACAAUAAGCAUUCCGCCUGGGGAGUUCGGCAGCGAGGUUGAAACUCAAAUGAAGUGACGGGG